GGUGAUUAGUUUUUUUUAAAAUGUAGGAUUACGUGUAUUUCCCCCUCCCUGCCUCUUACCUGUGGUCAGGGAGGGGCAGACUAGAUGGGUCAAAUGGUUCUUAUCUGCCUUCACAUUCUACGAUUCAUGGUGGUCCAGUGGCACAUUUUGCUAUGUCCUGUGUAGAGGUUGCUGAGAGGUAUGCUCUUUCCCUGUAGUGAAG